rnacentral:lncRNA from 1 species
GGCGACUGAUUGUUCAUUCCGUUCAUGCUUCGUCAUUUGGUCUUUCGGUGCUGCGUUAAGGUUUAUGCCUAAGUUGGAGUCCAUCCUUCUUCUGCUUUAGUUAAUUUGUUCCUUAGGUCCUUGUGUUAGCUUAAUUUUGUGCAUUCUGCUACUUGUCUCUGUGUAAUGUUUGUCAAAAAUUUUAUAUCUUGGUAUAAAAUUUAACAUUUUACCAAAAAAAAAAAAAAAAUCCAUCAGGAACAAAAUUUACAGUAUCAAAGUUUGGGAAGAGGUUAAGCAAUGUGUCAAGAGCAUCAGGAUGGAACUUCCUUGCAAACAGAUAACAAGGCCGUGUAAUCCCGUUCCAUGUACAUGGCCAAUGCAGCUCAUCUCCAUGCUUCAAAACCCACAAGUUCAAAAGUAUAAAGAAAGAGAGAGAUGUAGAGUGGCCACAAAAGAGAGAGAUCUGCUAGAGAAUAUACCUCUCCCACACUUGUGCCGUGUAUACUCAUCUCUUCAGUCUGACACAAGGUCACAAGGGAGAACCGAGAAAAAAAGUAGAAUUAAGAAGCUCAUUAUUAUAACAGUUUUGAAGAACAUAACGUUCGAAACCAUACCGUGACAUUUUUCAUGAAAUCUAGUGAUAUCUCAUUUGCUGUGCAAGUCUUUGGAUACCACCUUCGUUCAGACCAAUCAACAUACGUCGCUGACCAGUUCGAGAUCCCCAUAGGAUCAAUCAUCUGAAAAGAAGAUCCAGCAAAUAAAAAAUGUUUCAGCAUUAAGAAGAGUGUAGAAGAUGAUUAAGAAGAGCAUAUCCUCACACUGAAGAAUGUUGGCAACUAAUGUUCAUCUGCAAUACAGUCCUUGUAAGCCUCUAUCCCUGGCUGAAAAAAUCAUAAGAACUUUCUUGUCAUAAUCAGAACUCAGAGAACUGAAAAACCAAAACUCUAUUCAGCUGCAGGACAAAAACUUACUCCACAACACUCACGGAACUUUGAGUAGUAGAGACUAUCAGCCAUCACUGAUUCACUAUAACCGCGUGUUGUCGCUUCAUUGUGAACCACUGGGCCCAGAAGAAAAAGACACCACAAAAAAAAAGACAACAAACAGUGAACAGCAGUAACUCUCUUAGAGACUAAGGCUUGUCUUUACCUGAGCACCCUUUCUAAAAUCUUCCCUAGCAAUCUCAGGUAACAUGUGUUCUAUGUGUCUACCAGUUCCAUGAGGACCAGGAUCCACAAAACUUGAGAAACAGAGAUAAUUGUAGCUUGUGUCAAUGAACAUCUAAUUAAACAAAAACUCUUUAUUUCCGCCUCGUGUCGUCUCCCUCUCAGUGUGGCGCGUGGCUGGGUUCGGAGUGGUACUUGUCGUGGAUCUAGGGUUUGAGAUCCGUGGGUCUCUUGGUUCUUCCUCCUGCUUUAGUGACCUCCGGUGGUCUCCGAAGGUAACGUGUUGGGUCCGUGUGAGGAUAUGAGUCUUCGUUGAUCUCUCUCUUGCGGUGGUCCAGUGGCAGCGUGGGAGUGGCUGCCAUCUCUGUUACGUCUCCGAGCUUGCUUGUGGCGUGUGUAGAUGUUAGUCUCUAUCUGAAGUAGUGUGGACUCGGUGGACGGUGGUGUGGCACUCUUGAUCGUCGGCUCUCUCUCCUUAUGGCAUCUAUGUGGCAGGUUCGCUGAGGUGAGGUUUGUUGGAUUCUUUGUCAAGGGUAAGGCCUUAGUUUGGCUUCCAGCUCUCUAGUUUACUUGGUGGAUGCUUCUCGGAGAAGGUGUGCCCGUCUGGUCCCCUUACUCUAUACGAGUCUCAGGUUAAAUGGGUGUAAGGUCGGAGGCAGCAGUCUUCAGCUACUGUCUUUGAACGACGGCAUCGUCAUUUGGGAUCCUUCUCGUGCUGCCGGGUUGGUAUUUGUCCGGUAAUUUAGUGUGUCCGGGACUGAUUCUUGGGACAGGUUGUGGCAUGUGGGCUAAUUGGAAGCUGCAGGAGCCGUGUGUUUCAAGGUUUGAGGGCGUCUUUCUCUCCGGUAGCUCGUGGCGACUGAUUGUUCAUUCCGUUCAUGCUUCGUCAUUUGGUCUUUCGGUGCUGCGUUAAGGUUUAUGCCUAAGUUGGAGUCCAUCCUUCUUCUGCUUUAGUUAAUUUGUUCCUUAGGUCCUUGUGUUAGCUUAAUUUUGUGCAUUCUGCUACUUGUCUCUGUGUAAUGUUUGUCAAAAAUUUUAUAUCUUGGUAUAAAAUUUAACAUUUUAC